GUUGUUGUAUUCAAGGAACACUCCAAGUAUCAUAACCACUACAGAACUCCUCCAACCUGUAAGUAGUUAAACCUUUUCCUAAUGGCUUGACUUAUCUGGGUCUGCCAGUCACUUCCUCCAUGGAGAGCCAGAGUUCCUGCAUGCCAUCGGCCAAAAAGCUAAGCCCUGCAACUGCUAGACUUUGUUCAACGCAGAGCUUCUGGCUCCCAAAGAGGAGGUGACUAGGGCACAGUAGGCUCUAGGUAAGUUGCCAAACUGUUAAACCAUUUGACUGUUUACAUCAGGAGGGGCACCAGGGCAGUCCUUGGUACUAUAACCACUUCAGCAUCCUGGAGUGGUUAUAGUUGUUAGAGUGUUCCUUUAAUAUGCAAAAUUCUAUCUAUGGAAAAAUCACUUAAAAUGGUAUCUUGGUUUCUAGGAUACACUUUAUAGUGCCUUAACUUUUUACUUUUAAUGAAGUGAUCUUUACAAAUAAACUUUUUUUUGAAAGUUUUUAAACAGUUUCAUGAUUCAUAUACCAAAAUAAUAUUUAAAAUAAAUAAAUGGAUCACACAAACAUUUCAGCUGCCAGUAACAGGUGCCUGUCCUCCAAAGUCAUUGCUAAAAUCUGCACAUCGCAUGUAUAAAUCAUAUAGCGAAUUUACAAAGGUAUCCGGUCGACGGAAAGCUGAGCAUGGAGUGGAAUUCUGAGACGCAAUGGGUCUGAUUGCCAACCACUGAUAUUUCAGAUGUCAUGGACUACAUUUCCCAUGAUGCUCCAACAGCUAUUUGGAUGAUUGGGAGUCACAGAAUAUAGACAAAAUUACAAAAUGUCUGCCACCAGUGAAACAGGUUUUAUAACUCCAGAUUAAAAGGACUCUCUCCAGUGCCAG